GACGAACGCUGGCGGCGUGCUUAACACAUGCAAGUCGAACGGUAAGGCCCUUCGGGGUACACGAGUGGCGAACGGGUGAGUAACACGUGGGUGAUCUGCCCUGCACUUCGGGAUAAGCCUGGGAAACUGGGUCUAAUACCGGAUAGGACCACUGCCUGCAUGGGUGGUGGUGGAAAGCUUUUGCGGUGUGGGAUGGGCCCGCGGCCUAUCAGCUUGUUGGUGGGGUGAUGGCCUACCAAGGCGACGACGGGUAGCCGGCCUGAGAGGGUGACCGCCCACGGUGGGACUGAGAUACGGCCCAGACCCCUACGGGAGGCAGCAGUGGGGAAUAUUGCACAAUGGGCGCAAGCCUGAUGCCGCGACGCCGCGUGAGGGAUGACGGCCUUCGGGUUGUAAACCUCUUUCAGCACCGACGAAGCGCAAGUGACGGUAGGUGCAGAAGAAGGACCGGCCAACUACGUGCCAGCAGCCGCCGUAA
rnacentral:rRNA from 1 species